GUGCUCACUUCAGCAGCACAUAUACUAAAAUCGGAACAAUACAGAGAAGAUUGGCACGGCCCCUGCACAAGGAUGACACGCAAAUUCGUGAAGUGUUCCAUAUUAUU
rnacentral:snRNA from 1 species